rnacentral:rRNA from 1 species
GAUGAACGCUGGCGGCGUGCCUAAUACAUGCAAGUAGAACGCUGAAGCUUGGUGCUUGCACCGAGCGGAUGAGUUGCGAACGGGUGAGUAACGCGUAGGUAACCUGCCUCUUAGCGGGGGAUAGCUAUUGGAAACGAUAGCUAAUACCGCAUAAAAGACGAUAUCGCAUGAUAUUGAUUUGAAAGGUGCAAAUGCAUCACUAAGAGAUGGACCUGCGUUGUAUUAGCUAGUUGGUGAGGUAACGGCUCACCAAGGCAACGAUACAUAGCCGACCUGAGAGGGUGAUCGGCCACACUGGGACUGAGACACGGCCCAGACUCCUACGGGAGGCAGCAGUAGGGAAUCUUCGGCAAUGGGGGCAACCCUGACCGAGCAACGCCGCGUGAGUGAAGAAGGUUUUCGGAUCGUAAAGCUCUGUUGUAAGAGAAGAACGAGUGUGAGAGUGGAAAGUUCACACUGUGACGGUAACUACCA